AUUGAACGCUGGCGGCAGGCCUAACACAUGCAAGUCGAACGUGUGGCGGACGGGUGUGUAAUGUAUGGGAACCUGCCUGAUGGAGGGGGUUCACUACUGGAAACGGUAGCUAAUACCGCUUACCAUCAGAUGUGCCCAGAUGGGCUUAGCUUGUGGGUGGGGUAACGGCUCACAAAGGCGACGAACCCUAGCGGGUUUGAGAGGAUGACCGGCAACACUGGAACUUGGACACGGUCCAGCCUCCUACGGAGGGCAGCAUUGGGGAAUAUUGCACACUGGGCGAAAGCCUGAUACAGCCAUGCCGGUUGGUUGAAGAGGGCUUUCGGGUUGUAAAGUACUUUCUGAGGGGAGACGUUACCCACCGAAGAAGCACCGGCUAACUCCGUGCCAGCCGCCGCGGUAAUAC
rnacentral:rRNA from 1 species